GUUUCUUGUUUCCCCCCUGUUGAUUCACAAGGCUCUGAUACUAAAUUCAUUCUGGCAUGUGCAGUGGGCGGAUCGGCAAAUUUAGCUCUGAUAAUAGUUUUGGUGAAAGUCAAGUUAAAGAGAUCGCACGGGAUUAACGCAAGUUCUUUGGACAGAUGUCAGAAUGAACAGACGGCUGAAGAAGCUGCGGAUGAGCACAACACAGACUAUGUUUCACUAAAUAAGAGGGAGAGCAAAGGAUUUCGCAAAGAUCGACAAGAAAAGCGCAUUAUCUAUUCUCCGACUAAAAGAAAUGGAGCUGACAAACUGACCUACGCUGCGCUACAGCUUCCCGAUUCCAAGAACACCUCAGCAUCCAAACAUCAAAACCAACACACGCUCUACGCAGAUGUAAAUACAUCAAAGAAACUGUGAAACUGAGAAUCCAACUGCAGCUUAGCGCUAUAGACUAUCAAUGAGUGCAGACCGGAGGCAUUGCUUCUUUUCAUUUUCUGCAUCCAGGCAAAAAUUGUGAUUCUAUAUAACAUUUAUAAUUUAGGAAGGUAAGGGAUCAACUUCGUCUGCGAUUUGUUAGAAGCGAUUAUCACUGGGAAAAAAGUGAUUAACUUACGAGUAAGAUUGCGAAUAAGACAUUCCGUCUCUCUCUACUGCCCAGUUAUAAUCUCCAUUGAACAGUCCCCGAUCAUUCCAGGACAGAAACCUACUUUUCCUAAAGUACCGCCCCACCACCAAGAUAUUCCAUCCACAGUCCUCAGAGGAUGAAAAAAGAAAUCAAGAAUUUCGUCACCACUAGCGAGAGAAACUUUAUUUGCAGGGUAAAAGCAAACGCCAACUGAGCAGUUUUUUUCUUACUCACUUAUUUCAACGUUCAA